rnacentral:rRNA from 1 species
CCUACGGGGGGCUGCAGUGAGGAAUAUUGGUCAAUGGGCGCGAGCCUGAACCAGCCAAGUAGCGUGAAGGAUGACUGCCCUACGGGUUGUAAACUUCUUUUAUAAAGGAAUAAAGUGAGGCACGUGUGCCUUUUUGUAUGUACUUUAUGAUUAAGGAUCGGCUAACUCCGUGCCAGCAGCCGCGGUAAUACGGAGGAUCCGAGCGUUAUCCGGAUUUAUUGGGUUUAAAGGGAGCGUAGAUGGGUUGUUAAGUCAGUUGUGAAAGUUUGCGGCUCAACCGUAAAAUUGCAAUUGAUACUGGCAGUCUUGAGUACAGUUGAGGUAGGCGGAAUUCGUGGUGUAGCGGUGAAAUGCUUAGAUAUCACGAAGAACUCCGAUUGCGAAGGCAGCUUACUAAACUGCCACUGACAUUGAUGCGCGAAAGUGUGGGGAGCAAACAGGAUUAGAUACCCGAGUAGUC